rnacentral:rRNA from 1 species
AUGGAGAGACUUGUUAAUGUUCAUUACAUUGACAAGGAGGCAUUCUUGAGUAACAAUGCCGACACGGGUGAGGAACCAUUGGUUUUUGAUACAAGCUCUAGCUAUGAGGAUGUUGUUGCAAAAGUGAGACAAGUUUUGAAAUGGAUGGACACCAAUGUUGAUGUUAAGUUAAUAGGAAGGUAUGAUGUUGGAGUUGGAGCCAAAUCUCGCUUGAAAAGUAUGCCUAUCACCUCGGAUUUGCAUUGGGAUGUAUACAAGGAAAAAGUAUCCCAAUCAGAAGACAAGUCACUUGAAUUGUUUGCCACCAAGGUUGAAUCUCCUCGGUUUACCUUUGAUUUGAACCGGCAUGUCUCUUCCCCAAUGGAUGACAUGAGCGUUGAGUUGUAUGCCCCCAAUGCUUCUAGCCAACCACCAACUAGCCAAGCAAAUGAAGUUGAGGUGAUUGCUAGUGACGGAGUAAUUCAAGAGGAUGAAGAUGCUUAUGAUGACGAUGAAGAGCAAGAGGAAGGGUUUCAUGGUAAUGAUGUUGGUGACUUGGAUGCGUACAUAGCGCAAAAGGACAUGGAUCGUGACUUGCCUUUUAGGCGUCAAUAUGCAUAA